rnacentral:rRNA from 1 species
GUAGGGAAUAUUGCACAAUGGAGGAAACUCUGAUGCAGCGACGCCGCGUGAGUGAUGAAAGCCUUCGGGUCGUAAAGCUCUGUCGCAGGGGAAUAACACAAUGAAGGUACCCUGUAAGAAAGGAUCGGCUAACUUCGUGCCAGCAGCCGCGGUAAGACGAGGGAUCCUAGCGUUGUUCGGAAUCAUUGGGCGUAAAGCGGAUGUAGGUGGCUAUGUAAGUCAGAUGUGAAAGCCUGGGGCUCAACCCCAGAAGUGCAUUUGAUACUGCGUAGCUUGAGUGUCGGAGAGGUUACUAGAAUUGUUGGUGUAGUGGUGAAAUACGUAGAUAUCAACAGGAAUACCGGAGGCGAAGGCGGGUAACUGGCCGAACACUGACACUGAGAUCCGAAAGCGUGGGGAUCAAACAGGAUUAGAUACCCCGGUAGUCC